rnacentral:misc_RNA from 1 species
AAUGAGUUCACGGAAUCUGAUAUGGGUGGUCACCAAAAUGCAGGUUCUUGUGGAGAAAUAUCCUUCUUGGGGAGACACUAUUCAAGUUGAGACCUGGGUGAGCUCAUCUGGUAAAAAUGGGAUGCGACGGGAUUGGCACAUUCGUAACUCCCAAACAAAGGAGACUAUCAUGAGAGCUACUAGUGUCUGGGUAAUGAUGAACAAACAAACUAGGAGAUUAUCUAAAAUACCAGAAGAGGUGAGAAUGGAAA